GUGAGCCAGUACAGGAUGGACCCGCGUCUGAUUAGCUAGUUGGUAAGGUAACGGCUUACCAAGGCGACGAUCAGUAGCCGACCUGAGAGGGUGAUCGGCCACAUUGGAACUGAGACACGGUCCAAACUCCUACGGGAGGCAGCAGUGGGGAAUAUUGCACAAUGGGCGAAAGCCUGAUGCAGCAACGCCGCGUGAGUGAUGAAGGCCUUCGGGUCGUAAAACUCUGUCCUCAAGGAAGAUAAUGACGGUACUUGAGGAGGAAGCCCCGGCUAACUACGUGCCCGCAGCCGCGGUAAUACGUCGGGGGCUAGCGUUAUCCGGAUUUACUGGGCGUAAAGGGUGCGUAGGCGGUCUUUCAAGUCAGGAGUGAAAGGCUACGGCUCAACCGUAGUAAGCUCUUGAAACUGGGAGACUUGAGUGCAGGAGAGGAGAGUGGAAUUCCUAGUGUAGCGGUGAAAUGCGUAGAUAUUAGGAGGAACACCAGUUGCGAAGGCGGCUCUCUGGACUGU
rnacentral:rRNA from 1 species